rnacentral:pre_miRNA from 1 species
UCUCUAGUAUUGACUUUAAUCCAUAUGUAUUGAAGUAGAUUGGAGUGUAACUUAAACUAAUUUACACACUAAUUUACCUUAACAUAUGUGGAUUAGGAUUAAUACUAGA